rnacentral:rRNA from 1 species
UACAGAGGUCCCAAGCGUUGUUCGGAUUCAUUGGGCGUAAAGGGUGCGUAGGUGGCCAGGUAAGUUUGGUGUGAAAGCUCGGAGCUUAACUCCGAAAAGUCAUUGAAUACUAUCUGGCUGGAGGUCGGAGGGAGACUGGAAUUCUCGGUGUAGCAGUGAAAUGCGUAGAUAUCGAGAGGAACACCAGUGGCGAAGGCGAGUCUCUGGACGACUCCUGACACUGAGGCACGAAAGCUAAGGGAGCAAACCAGG